rnacentral:sRNA from 1 species
AGAAACAAGUUGUUUUGCUUUUAAUAAGGCUCUUUUUUUAAAUACAAAUCUGAGCCUGAGUUUUCUUUCUUUAAAAAUCUUAUUGAAAGUAUUUUAAUGCUUAAGUCUGUUGACAGAAUAAAACAAAUUUUACAUAUCUACCAUGUUUGCCAACACAGAACAAAAAAAUGUAAGCUGACAGAGAAGGCAUGCAGAGUUGCUUAGUCAAAUAUAUUCAUUUUAAUGUGUAUGCACCAAUGUCAUAUUUGAGUGUUAGGGGUCCAUGUUGAUUUUUGAGCUUUUCUACUUAGCUAUGUUUUGCAAUUAUUUUAGAACCCCAGAAUAUCGAAGAUAAAGCAAAAGAACAAAUUCAGUCCCUUCUCCAUGAAAUGGUACACGCAGAACAUGUUGAAGGAGAAGACUUGCAACAAGAAGAUGGACCCACAGGAGAACCACAACAAGAGGAUGAUGAGUUUCUUAUGGUGACUGAUGUAGAUGAUGGAUUUGAGACCCUGGAACCUGAAGUAUCUCAUGAAGAAACCGAGCAUAGUUACCACGUGGAAGAGACAA